UCGGGAAUUUUGCCCAAUGGACGAAAGUCUGAGGCAGCAACUCCGCGUGAGGGAUGAAGGCCUUCGGGUCGUAAACCUCUUUUCUCAGGGAAGAUUCAAGACGGUACCUGAGGAAUAAGCCACGGCUAACUACGUGCCAGCAGCCGCGGUAAUACGUAGGUGGCAAGCGUUGUCCGGAUUUACUGGGCGUAAAGAGCGCGCAGGCGGCUGGGCAAGUCCGAUGUGAAAGCUUCCGGCUUAACUGGAAAAUUGCAUCGGAAACUGCUCGGCUUGAAGGUGGGAGAGGGUAGCGGAAUUCCCGGUGUAGUGGUGAAAUGCGUAGAUAUCGGGAGGAACACCAGUGGCGAAGGCGGCUACCUGGCCCAUUCUUGACGCUGAGGCGCGAAAGCUAGGGGAGCAAAC
rnacentral:rRNA from 1 species